rnacentral:rRNA from 1 species
AUACGGAGGGUGCAAGCGUUACUCGGAAUCAUUGGGUUUAAAGGGUCCGCAGGCGGUCAAUUAAGUCAGAGGUGAAAGCCCAUCGCUCAACGAUGGAACUGCCUUUGAUACUGGUUGACUUGAGUUAUACGGAAGUAGAUAGAAUAAGUAGUGUAGCGGUGAAAUGCAUAGAUAUUACUUAGAAUACCGAUUGCGAAGGCAGUCUACUACGUAUAUACUGACGCUGAGGGACGAAAGCGUGGGGAGCGAACAGGAUUAGAAACCCUAGUAGUCC